rnacentral:rRNA from 1 species
UACGUAGUGCGCAAGCGUUAUCCGGAAUUAUUGGGCGUAAAGAGCUCGUAGGCGGUUUGUCGCGUCUGCCGUGAAAGUCCGAGGCUCAACCUCGGAUCUGCGGUGGGUACGGGCAGACUAGAGUGAUGUAGGGGAGACUGGAAUUCCUGGUGUAGCGGUGAAAUGCGCAGAUAUCAGGAGGAACACCGAUGGCGAAGGCAGGUCUCUGGGCAUUAACUGACGCUGAGGAGCGAAAGCAUGGGGAGCGAACAGG